rnacentral:rRNA from 1 species
UACGGGGGGAGCAAGCGUUGUUCGGAUUUACUGGGCGUAAAGGGCGCGUAGGCGGCCAGCACAAGUCAGUUGUGAAAUCUCCGAGCUUAACUCGGAACGGUCAACUGAUACUGUGCGGCUAGAGUGCAGAAGGGGCAACUGGAAUUCUCGGUGUAGCGGUGAAAUGCGUAGAUAUCGAGAGGAACACCUGCGGCGAAGGCGGGUUGCUGGGCUGAUACUGACGCUGAGGCGCGAAAGCCAGGGGAGCGAACGGG